AAGGAGCGAGUGAAGGUCAAAGCCACACAUGGGGCUGAGGGGCCAGGUGGCCGCCUUAUGAGAUCGAAGGCGGGAAGCUUUGGAACAGGGCAAAAAGGGGAGCCCAGGGUGAGGGGAGAGGGCCGAGCAGCUCGGAUCUCUGAUGGCUGAGUGGCCUGUUCUGGGUCUGACUACCCUACCCUGGGGCCUGACUCUGCCCCGCCCCUCGCAACACUCAACAAACGCUUGUGGAAGGAGUGAACAAAUGACAAGUCACGAAACCUAAAUACAGGUAUGUCACAAGAAGCCCUCCAGGCAGCGAGUCACUUAGCACUGCACAGGUAGCAACUUUCUAAAAUAUUUUACCUUUAGUAUUGUCAUUUCAUAUUUCUGUCUUUCUCUUACUUUAGUGUACUAUUUUAUGGUGUCUUAAACCAUCACGCAAUUCCACGGGUAUGCAGCACAAAGAAUUGAGAAGUAAUUCCGAUAAGAGCAGGGGAAUAGUAAUUGAAACUGACACCCAUGUGACACUUUACAGUUUACAAAGUGCAUGGGUCGCAAUUCCAGAGUCUUCAGCUUUGGAGGAGACUGAGGUGCGGGACAUGGAAAAGAAGGUCAUUCUCUUGGAGCCCCAACAAUGACCAGGAGAAAUUCAUUUGGCGGUAAAACCACACGAACCCUAUUACAUCACCAAGCCCUCACCGUUUCCAGCACCCAGGGUCUCUACAAAGAGGCAAGCUGGGACUGAAAUCUCUCCCGAGUGUGGAAGACGGACGGGAGCAGCAGCCGGACAGCACAGCUCAAGGCCGAGAGGCUCACUGGGUGACUCGGGCCGCUU
rnacentral:lncRNA from 10 species